UUGGAGGUAAGAGGGAGGGAAGAAGGCACAGCAGGAGAAUGAGAAGCCUGAGCAGCAGUUUUCCAUUGACCCCUUAUCAGCAUCCUAACAUGUGGGAGUGGACCUACCAUCCUCCCUUGGUGGGCACAAAGGCCUGGUGCUGGGUGCAAGUCACUUAGUAACAUAAUUACUAUACCUUUUUUAUUGCCCCCCUACCUUUGUUGGUGUUUUUAGGUCUGGGCAGUGACCUGACAGGCUGGCUAUGAUGUCUCUUCAUGGUGCAAGAGUUGCUGCUUUCCUUGCUUGGGUGAACAGCACAAAUGUUUGUCCUGACCCCCUCAAUGAUCUGUCCCAGCUCCAGGACUGUAGUGUCUUCAUCAGAAUUAUCCACAAAUGUGGGAACUGACAGUGGUCAAAUAAGAGAUUUUCAGGCCUCAGGCACUAGCUUGAGCCUAUAGGAAAGUACACAGCUUCCUCACUCUGGCCUGGGAAAUCAUAAGGAGGAAUCCGGACAAUCCUUGGAAGGUGAAAAACUGUUAGAAAAAGGUGGUGUUUUUCUAACUUGUUAUUUACUUGGAAAUAACAGUCAAGGGGUGUUGUUCUAAAUGACCAAUCAUAUUCAUUGUACCAAAGUGCUGUAUAAAAAGAGUGUGUUUCUAAUAAACCUUCGAUACAUGUACUCCAA